rnacentral:rRNA from 1 species
GGGGGGAGCAAGCGUUGUUCGGAUUUACUGGGCGUAAAGGGCGCGUAGGCGGCCACCGCAAGUCACUUGUGAAAUCUCCGGGCUUAACCCGGAAAGGUCAACUGAUACUGCGGGGCUAGAGUGCAGAGGGGGCAACUGGAAUUCUCGGUGUAGCGGUGAAAUGCGUAGAUAUCGAGAGGAACACCUGCGGCGAAGGCGGGUUGCUGGGCUGACACUGACGCUGAUGUGCGAAAGCUAGGGGAGCGAACGGGAUUAGAUACCCCGGUAGUCCUAGCCUUAAACGAUGAAUGCUUGGUGUCUGGGGUUUUAUAGUCCCCGGGUGCCGUCGCUAACGCUUUAAGCAUUCCGCCUGGGGAGUACGGUCGCAAGACUG